AAUGAACGCUGGCGGCAGGCUUAACACAUGCAAGUCGAGCGAGCGGCGGACGGGUGAGUAAUGUCUGGGAAACAGCCUUAUGGAGGGGGAUAACUCCUGGAAACGGUAGCUAAUACCGCAUAGCAUCAGCUUUUACCAGAUGGGAUUAGCUAGUAGGUGGGGUAAUGGCUCACCUAGGCGACGAUCCCUAGCUGGUCUGAGAGGAUGACCAGCCACACUGGAACUGAGACACGGUCCAGACUCCUACGGGAGGCAGCAGUAGGGAAUAUUGCACAAUGGGCACAAGCCUGAUGCAGCCAUGCCGCGUGAGUGAAGAAGGCCUUCGGAUCGUAAAGCUCUGUUAGCAGGGAAGCGGUACUCGCAGAAGAAGCACCGGCUAACUCCGUGCCAGCAGCCGCGGUAAUAC
rnacentral:rRNA from 1 species